GAUGAAGAACGUAGCGAAAUGCGAUAAGUAAUGUGAAUUGCAGAAUUCCGUGAAUCAUCGAAUCUUUGAACGCACAUUGCGCCCCCUGGUAUUCCGGGGGCAUGCCUGUCCGAGCGUCAUUGCAACCUUCAAGCGCGGCUUGUGUGUUGGGUCUCGUCCCCCGUGGACGGGCCCGAAAGGCAGUGGCGGCGUCCCGACAUGGUGCCCGAGCGUAUGGGAAUCCUCUUCCGCUCGAAUCGGCCCAUGCGGCGCUGGUCGUAACCAAAUUUUUUACCGGUUGACCUCGGAUCAGGUAGGGAUACCCGCUGAACUUAAGCAUAUCAAUAAGCGGAGGA
rnacentral:misc_RNA from 1 species